AGCGAACGCUGGCGGCAGGCCUAACACAUGCAAGUCGAGCGGCCGUAGCAAUACGGCAGCGGCAGACGGGAGAGUAACACGUGGGAACGUACCCUUCGGUUCGGAAUAACUCAGGGAAACUUGAGCUAAUACCGGAUAAGUCCGUAAGGAGAAAGAUUUAUCGCCGAAGGAUCGGCCCGCGUCCGAUUAGCUAGUUGGUGGGGUAAUGGCCCACCAAGGCGACGAUCGGUAGCUGGUCUGAGAGGAUGAUCAGCCUCACUGGGACUGAGACACGGCCCAGACUCCUACGGGAGGCAG
rnacentral:rRNA from 1 species